UGGUUCUCCCCGAAAGCUAUUUAGGUAGCGCCUCGUGAAUUCAUCUCCGGGGGUAGAGCACUGUUUCGGCAAGGGGGUCAUCCCGACUUACCAACCCGAUGCAAACUGCGAAUACCGGAGAAUGUUAUCACGGGAGACACACGGCGGGUGCUAACGUCCGUCGUGAAGAGGGAAACAACCCAGACCGCCAGCUAAGGUCCCAAAGUCAUGGUUAAGUGGGAAACGAUGUGGGAAGGCCCAGACAGCCAGGAUGUUGGCUUAGAAGCAGCCAUCAUUUAAAGAAAGCGUAAUAGCUCACUGGUCGAGUCGGCCUGCGCGGAAGAUGUAACGGGGCUAAACCAUGCACCGAAGCUGCGGCAGCGACGCUGAUGCGUUGUUGGGUAGGGGAGCGUUCUGUAAGCCUGUGAAGGUGUGCUGUGAGGCAUGCUGGAGGUAUCAGAAGUGCGAAUGCUGACAUAAGUAACGAUAAAGCGGGUGAAAAGCCCGCUCGCCGGAAGACCAAGGGUUCCUGUCCAACGUUAAUCGGGGCAGGGUGAGUCGACCCCUAAGGCGAGGCCGAAAGGCGUAGUCGAUGGGAAACAGGUUAAUAUUCCUGUACUUGGUGUUACUGCGAAGGGGGGACGGAGAAGGCUAUGUUGGCCGGGCGACGGUUGUCCCGGUUUAAGCGUGUAGGCUGGUUUUCCAGGCAAAUCCGGAAAAUCAAGGCUGAGGCGUGAUGACGAGGCACUACGGUGCUGAAGCAACAAAUGCCCUGCUUCCAGGAAAAGCCUCUAAGCAUCAGGUAACAUCAAAUCGUACCCCAAACCGACACAGGUGGUCAGGUAGAGAAUACCAAGGCGCUUGAGAGAACUCGGGUGAAGGAACUAGGCAAAAUGGUGCCGUAACUUCGGGAGAAGGCACGCUGAUAUGUAGGUGAAGCGACUUGCUCGUGGAGCUGAAAUCAGUCGAAGAUACCAGCUGGCUGCAACUGUUUAUUAAAAACACAGCACUGUGCAAACACGAAAGUGGACGUAUACGGUGUGACGCCUGCCCGGUGCCGGAAGGUUAAUUGAUGGGGUCAGCGCAAGCGAAGCUCUUGAUCGAAGCCCCGGUAAACGGCGGCCGUAACUAUAACGGUCCUAAGGUAGCGAAAUUCCUUGUCGGGUAAGUUCCGACCUGCACGAAUGGCGUAAUGAUGGCCAGGCUGUCUCCACCCGAGACUCAGUGAAAUUGAACUCGCUGUGAAGAUGCAGUGUACCCGCGGCAAGACGGAAAGACCCCGUGAACCUUUACUAUAGCUUGACACUGAACAUUGAGCCUUGAUGUGUAGGAUAGGUGGGAGGCUUUGAAGUGUGGACGCCAGUCUGCAUGGAGCCGGCCUUGAAAUACCACCCUUUAAUGUUUGAUGUUCUAACGUUGACCCGUGAUCCGGGUUGCGGACAGUGUCUGGUGGGUAGUUUGACUGGGGCGGUCUCCUCCUAAAGAGUAACGGAGGAGCACGAAGGUUGGCUAAUCCUGGUCGGACAUCAGGAGGUUAGUGCAAUGGCAUAAGCCAGCUUGACUGCGAGCGUGACGGCGCGAGCAGGUGCGAAAGCAGGUCAUAGUGAUCCGGUGGUUCUGAAUGGAAGGGCCAUCGCUCAACGGAUAAAAGGUACUCCGGGGAUAACAGGCUGAUACCGCCCAAGAGUUCAUAUCGACGGCGGUGUUUGGCACCUCGAUGUCGGCUCAUCACAUCCUGGGGCUGAAGUAGGUCCCAAGGGUAUGGCUGUUCGCCAUUUAAAGUGGUACGCGAGCUGGGUUUAGAACGUCGUGAGACAGUUCGGUCCCUAUCUGCCGUGGGCGCUGGAGAACUGAGGGGGGCUGCUCCUAGUACGAGAGGACCGGAGUGGACGCAUCACUGGUGUUCGGGUUGUCAUGCCAAUGGCACUGCCCGGUAGCUAAAUGCGGAAGAGAUAAGUGCUGAAAGCAUCUAAGCACGAAACUUGCCCCGAGAUGAGUUCUCCCUGACUCCUUGAGAGUCCUGAAGGAACGUUGAAGACGACGACGUUGAUAGGCCGGGUGUGUAAGCGCAGCGAUGCGUUGAGCUAACCGGUACUAAUGAACCGUGAGG
rnacentral:rRNA from 1 species